AAGGGACGACCUUCGGGAGCUUGCACAGGUGCUGCAUGGCUGUCGUCAGCUCGUGUCGUGAGAUGUUCGGUUAAGUCCGCUAACGAGCCGCAACCCUCACUGUGUGUUAUAUGUGUCACACGGGACUGCCGGUUUUAAGCCGGAGGAAGGUGGGGAUGACGGUCAAGUCAGCAUGGCCCUUAUAUCCCUGGGCUACACACACGCUACAAUGGUCGGUACAAUAGGUUGCCAAGCCGCGAGGCGGAGCCAAUCCAUAAAAGCCGGCCUCAGUUCAGAUUGUAGGCUGCAACUCGCCUGCAUGAAGAUGGAGUUGCUAGUAACCGCAGGUCAGCAAUACUGCGGUGAAUACGUUCCCGGGUCUU
rnacentral:rRNA from 1 species